rnacentral:lncRNA from 1 species
AAUCCAGUAGGAAAGGGUCCUGGUAGCAGGCAAAAGAGUUAGAGACACCCCUACUACAAUUGUCAGGAGUACCCCCAAAACACUAAGCCAAUAACCAUUACAUGUAAGUAGAGGACCUAGCACAGAUCUGAUUGCCACUUCACUUCUAAGAGCCCCAUGAGCCCUACUUAGUUGAUUCUACAGGCUGUGUUCUCCAGUGUCCUUGACCCUUCUGACACCCACAAUUUCUCCUCAUGCUCCAAGGGGUUCUCCCAGGCUCCAAGCAGAGGGACCCAGUGAGCACCUUUGACUUUGACUCUCUCUUCACUUAAAGUUUGGCUGUGGGUCUUUGUUCUUACUUCUUGGCCUAGGCAGAAAGAAAACACAGGAGCCAUUGUCUUGAGGAAACAAUGUAUGUAGCCUAGGAGCCAUGCUGGUAAGGUUCUGUGCCCGUCUUUCCCUCAAUAUUUUCCUCCCUAAUUAGGCAAGUCCACAGCCAACACAAGGUUAGAUCACUUUCAAGUACCACUGCACUGGGAAAAUGGCUAAAUGGAUGAUCGGGAUUUAAAAAAUCGAUUUUAGCUGCCAUUCAGGCAAAUCUAUCUCCUUAUGCUUCUUUUAAAUAAAGAAAAUUUGAAGGAAUGAAACCUGAUGACAACCCUCUCACCCUGCUCCCAGAAAGGCUGGUGGGUCAUUCUCGCACCUCACUGGGGAUGGAGGCGUCCCAGUUUAAACCUCCACCAGCAAAAGUGAGUGUUUGUAGAGACGGAGAAAGUUGCUUCACCUACAUCAAAGUCAAGCAUUGCUAGAAAGAAUGCUGUGUGUGUGUGUGUGUGUGUGUGUGUGUGUGUGUGUGUGUACAUUCACGCACACACAUCGAUGACUUAUCCCCACAUGCUGGUAAUUGACAGACUGAUGGUGUGUUUUUACUAUUCUUGUUUGUGAUGUUUCUGUUUUUCUGUUUUAAUUGGUUUUUUUUCAGUCACUUUCUCAUUGAUUUUCAAACAAAUAUGUCAAACUAAAUACGUUAAAAAAUUAUUUGAACUAUUUCUGAUUGAGCCCAACAUUAAGCAAUUUGUUCCUAAGUAAAGUAGACAAAAGUAAAUUGUUUCCAAGUACUAAUUAAAUCUCUUGUUGGCAUGUCAGUAUAGCUUUAUAACUUUUGUGUGAUGGUAGCUCGAUUGUUUAGUUUUAAAGCCAUAAAUUCAUUUUUCUCUUUGCCAGUUAUUACAUGAAAAUAAACAACUAUUAUUAAACUAUUAAAUUAUAACUUAUGUAAUUGAGAAAUACUGUCAGUGGUUCUGAGCCUUUCUAUGGCAUGGCUGCCUCCUCCUCUUCCUCUUCCUCUUCCUCCUCCUCCUCCUCUUUGUCUUUUCUUCUAUUAUUGUUAUUGUUGUUACUAUUAUUUUAUUUGAGCUAAUAUGAGUAUAUGCAUUGGUGAUAUUUAAAUUUUGCUUUAAUGCACUUCACUCCAAAGCUACUGAAUUAGAACUUCUCAAAAUGCCAGGUAGUAAUUGUUUUAAAACAAAUUUCACAAGAAUUUACUGUAAAUCUAAGAUCCCCUGUUCAGAACAGGAAGAUUUGGAAUAUAAUCAUAAGGAAUAAUAAUUCUCACCUCUUGACAUCAAGUUUCAACAUAAAAUCAGCUUAAAACAUCAAGAAAUAUAGGGAUUUUAAAACCCAAGAACAACUUGUAUGUGUGAUUGAUUUUUAUUUGACAUUUUUUUUCUAAAAAAUAGAAACUAUUAAAGCUAUUUGAAAGUUAAAGAUAUGUACAAUAAAAACGAUGCGAAAUUGGUUACAUCUUCUUGAAUGAACAUGAAUUUAAAGAGAAAAAAAGUGAUAUGGAACAGGAGAGAAUUACCAUCUACUAGAUAUAUUUGUAUUUUUAAAGAAUGCACCAGAAUACAAAAAGAAAGAUUAUUGUUCUGAGAGCUAGUCACUUAAAAUGUGCUUUUUAACCAGUGUUCUUCCUGCUUGCCCAGAGCUUAGAACAUGUUUUCAACACUGAAAACUGAUAAACAACCAAAGAAGAUAUCAUUUGAUAAAAUAGUUAGGAAAUGUUUUCCUGUAAGAAACAGUUCAGAUAUGCCCGGACUGUACAUUGUUCAUUUAGAUUCACCUAGUAUCAGUUUGUGAGAAAUAGUUCCCAGAGCUGAGAGGGACAGUGUUGAUGGCUGCUUCUCUGCCAGCCUCCUAUUCUCAACCAGGUAGUAGCAUGCUACUGUGGGAUCCUACCGCAUGCUACUAAUGCACACUAUAUAACAUGUUAUACAACAUAGCUACAUGCCAUGUUCUAUGCCAGGCUGCACCGCUUUGCCUCAUCUGUUACCUGGCCUUGGAUUGGGGUCAACGUUGCCUUGUAGCUGAUUCUCAGCUGUCCAUGAGUGUCUCUAAAACCACCAGACAUCCUCUCCAAACCUCGACUAUGAGAGAACACGCCCUCCCUGACACACCUCCCUGAUGUAGUCCUCUGAAUUGUCUCUUCAACAUUUUUUCAGAUCCCCUUUUGUAAAUAAUGAUCCCUAGAUCUGAGAGAAGGCAUUGCUAAAUAUUUGGAAUUUGGUUUUUAAAAGAUAAUUAACCCCUAAAUCGCACACUUCAUGGUUUAAGACUUUGGGCCUGUACCACAUUUUGUUUUGGUUCCAUAACCCUUCUGUUUUUUUGGUUUUUGUUUUGUUUGUUUGUUUUUUGUUUUUUAUCUUUCACCUUCAUGGCUUUUGUGACACAAGGUGAUGAACCUCUAGCU